rnacentral:rRNA from 1 species
CACGUAGGGUGCAGGCGUUGUCCGGAAUUAUUGGGCGUAAAGGGCUCGUAGGCGGUCCGUCACGUCGGGAGUGAAAACUCGGGGCUCAACCUCGAGCCUGCUUCCGAUACGGGCGGACUAGAGGUAGGUAGGGGAGAACGGAAUUCCUGGUGUAGCGGUGGAAUGCGCAGAUAUCAGGAGGAACACCGGUGGCGAAGGCGGUUCUCUGGGCCUUACCUGACGCUGAGGAGCGAAAGCGUGGGGAGCGAACAGG